AUGAAAACUCAGGUCGAGAUGCUGAAACCGGCGACUUUGGACACAGCUAUGGACUUAGCAAUCUCCUUUGAGCACCUCAAUACUGUCACCAGCACCGCGACCACUCCGGGUCGGCCCAGCCGUCCACUCCGCCCCAUGGCUGCACCUAUUCCGGCCUUGCCGGACUCCUCCAACCCCACGCCCGCGCUCGUCUCUAAAAGACUCACGCCCGCCGAGAUGGAUGAACGGCGCGCUAAGGGUCUCUGCUUCAAUUGUGACGAGAAGUUCGCGCGGGGCCAUCGCUGCAAACAACUGUUCUACAUUCAAUCCGCCGACGCCGAAGAGGAGCAGUUUGAGGAUUUCCAGGAAGCACAAAUCUCACUCUUGGCUGUUACCGGAAUUCCCACCAGCGACACAAUGCAGGUCACUCUUUGCAUCGGGGACCGUGACUUGGUCGCCUUGCUUGAUUCAGGCAGCACUCAUAACUUCAUCCGCGAAGAGCUGGCCACCAUCGUUGGGCUGCCUUUCUCCUCCAAUCGUUGUUUGGGAGUCACGGUCGCUAAUGGCGAUAAGGUGACCUGUCGGGGACUCCUUCAGCAGGCUGCGAUCACCAUUGACAAGGAGCGUUUCGUUGUUGAUCUGCAUGCCAUUUCAUUGGGCGGGUUCGACAUCGUCCUCGGUACACGAUUCCUCAAAACUCUUGGGCCAAUUCUUUGGGAUUUCACUACGCAGUGGAUGUCGUUUUGGCACUCGGAUCACCAUGUGGAGUGGUCACGCCUCGGCUCCCUCGGGCGUCCUGCCCACCUACACGCGUGCGAAGGCAAGGAACUUCUGGACAGCCUGCUGGCCACUUUCACCGAUGUUUUCGCCGACCCAUAG
rnacentral:rRNA from 1 species